CUAAUGGUGCAUGAUUUAAUGAGG
rnacentral:siRNA from 1 species